AAGUCACCAGUGAGACAGAUGCCUCAUCUGCCUUACUUUGUGACUUAUUUCCUAAGUGACCUUGAAUAGGUCACGUCCAGCCUAAAAGAUUCUGGAGUUUGCUUUUGUCUCCCAGAAUUGGGCAGGUAGAAAUCACCUACUCAGCUUUGAAGAUUACGUGGAACAAUUCUCACUGUGAAGAUCUUGCUGCCAUCCAUCCCCUCCCUCCUCUCAGGUAGAAUCGACUUCUCUCCAUUGGGGCCUUCAGAGGUCCAAUGGGCUUUCUACCACUGCACUUGAUACAUUUUUGUUUCUAGGUGGAAUUCCUAAAUCAGGUAGAAUGUCUGCCUAACCUUGGGAGAGAACAGCAUUGACGUAUAGCUCUCGAAGAACGGG
rnacentral:lncRNA from 1 species